rnacentral:rRNA from 1 species
AACGAACGCUGGCGGCAUGCCUAACACAUGCAAGUCGAACGAGACCUUCGGGUCUAGUGGCGCACGGGUGCGUAACGCGUGGGAACCUGCCUUUAGGUUCGGAAUAACUCAGAGAAAUUUGAGCUAAUACCGGAUGAUGUCUUCGGACCAAAGAUUUAUCGCCUUUAGAUGGGCCCGCGUUGGAUUAGCUAGUUGGUGGGGUAAAGGCCUACCAAGGCGACGAUCCAUAGCUUGUCUGAGAGGAUGAUCAGCCACACUGGGACUGAGACACGGCCCAGACUCCUACGGGAGGCAGCAGUGGGGAAUAUUGGACAAUGGGCGAAAGCCUGAUCCAGCAAUGCCGCGUGAGUGAUGAAGGCCUUAGGGUUGUAAAGCUCUUUUACCCGAGAUGAUAAUGACAGUAUCGGGAGAAUAAGCUCCGGCUAACUCCGUG